AUGUUAGACACAUCGGGUCUCUCCAAGGCAUGGUGGGGGGAGGCGAUAUUGACAUCGUGUCAUGUCCUAAACCGAGUUCCCACAAAGAACAAAGAGAUAACUCCAUUCGAGGAAUGGGAGAAGAAAAGGUUAAAGCUCUCUUAUCUGCGAACCUGGGGUUGUUUGGCGAAAGUCAAUGUGCCAAUCCCAAAGAAGCGGAAGCUGGGACCAAAAACUGUGGAUUGUGUUUUCCUGGGAUAUGCUUUUCAUAGCAUAGGCUAUAGAUUCUUGGUUGUAAAAUCUGAGGUAUCUGACAUGCAUGUCGGUAUGAUCAUGGAGUCGAAUGAUGCGACUUUCUUUGAAGAUAUCUUUCCCAUGAAGGAUAUGGCUACCUCAUCUAAUCAGGAGAUGCCUAGUUCAUCGAAUCAGGAACCGGUUACAAUUACUGAACCUGCCAUUUCGAUGGAACACUUUGAAAGUCCUGUGGAGGAGAACAAUGAAGUUCCUACUAUGAGCAAGAGACAGAGGACUGCAAACGAGAUGGAUUCUAUCUUGGCGAAUGAAACCUGGGAGAUAACUGAUCGUCCUUAUGGGUGCAAACCUAUAGGAUGCAAAUGGGUAUUCAAGAAGAAGCUUAGGCCUGAUGGUACUAUAGAAAAGUACAAGGCUCGGCUCGUUGCUAAGGGUUAUACCCAAAAGGAAGGUGAAGACUUCUUUGAUACUUACUCACCUGUGGCUCGACUGACUACUAUUCGAGUUCUACUUUCACUGGCUGCCUCACAUGGUCUUCUCGUUCAUCAAAUGGAUGUUAAGACUGCUUUCCUAAAUGGAGAGUUGGAUGAGGAAAUUUAUAUGGAACAACCAGAUGGGUUUGUAAUAGAUGGUCAGGAAGGGAAAGUGUGCAAGUUGCUGAAGUCUUUGUAUGGACUCAAGCAAGCACCCAAACAGUGGCAUGAGAAGUUCGAAAGAACUCUAACAGCUGCAGGCUUUGUUGUGAACGAAGCUGACAAAUGUGUGUACUAUCGCCAUGGUGGGGGCGAGGGAGUUAUGCUUUGCUUGUAUGUUGAUGACAUACUGAUUUUCGGAACAAAUCUGAAAGUCAUUAAGGAGGUCAAGGAUUUCCUAUCUUGCUGUUUUGAGAUGAAGGAUUUAGGAGUGGCUGAUGUCAUUCUGAAUAUCAAGUUGUUGAGAGAUGAUGAUGGUGGGAUUACGUUGCUUCAAUCUCACUAUGUGGAAAAGAUCUUGAGUCGCUUUGGCUAUAGUGACUGCAAGCCCUCUCCAACACCAUAUGAUGCUACCAGUGCUACAAGACCUGACAUCUCUUUUGCUGUUAGCAAACUGAGUCGGUUUGUUUCAAAACCAGGAGAUGUGCAUUGGAAAGCUCUAGAGAGAGUUUUGCGUUAUUUGAAAGGCACUGCGAAUUAUGGAAUUCACUACACUGGGCACCCAAAGGUGCUUGAAGGGUAUAGUGACUCAAACUGGAUCUCAGAUGCUGAUGAGAUAAAGGUCACGAGCGGUUAUGUAUUCACUCAUGGAGGUGGUGUUGUUUCUUGGAAGUCUUGCAAGCAGACCAUCUUAACGAGGUCAACAAUGGAAGCAGAACUCACAGCACUAGAUACAGCUACGGUCGAAGCAGAUUGGCUUCGCCGGCUCUUGAAUGACUUGCCGGUAGUUGAGAAACCUGUACCGGGUAUCCUUAUGAACUGUGACAAUCAAACUGUGAUCACGAAAGUGAACAGCUCUAAGGAUAACAUGAAGUCAUCAAGACACAUUCAAAGAAGGUUAAAGUCUGUCAGAAAAAUGAGAAACUCCGGAGUUAUUGCAUUGGAUUAUAUCCAAACGUCUAAAAAUCUGGCAGAUCCUUUUACUAAGGGUCUAUCACGUAAUGUGAUAGAUAAUGCAUCGAGGGAGAUGGGAAUGAGACCCACAAUAUGA
rnacentral:rRNA from 1 species